AUCUGCCAAAUUUCUAACCCUAAUUUCUCUCCUCCUUGCUAAAGUCGCAGUAUUCUCUCAACUCUUCCUUCUACUUCUGACCUCUUCAAUGGUGAAUCCAUAUGCUCCUUAGUUUUUCCUGUUUCUUUAGACACUUUAAAUCUCUCUCUGAAGCUUUGCUGAAGAUCUCUGUUUGUUUCGGACGAGCUGCGCAGAGUUAAAAUCUCUCUGUCAAGCUUUCCUGAAGAUUUCUGUUUGUUUCGGACGGCCUGCGCAGCGCACUUCAAAUAUGGACACCAGAA